CGGGGACGCAAGUGACUUCACAGAGCACAAUGUCAUAACCUUAAGUAACACCAGACAACUUUUCCUAAAGUGGGGAUAAGAUAGGCUUGCUCUGUAGGCUGCAGGUCUUAAGCACCUGCGGCGGCAUCUGAUCGCGCGGAUUCGAGUCCCCUCCGCCCCUGAGUCGUGGCGUGGCUUCCAGGAGACUGAAGAGAUAUACUUGUCAUGAAUGGAUUGCAAACAUAACCUUCAAGAGCCAAGAUCUUGCUGUAUCGUCCAGGCUGAAGUGCAGUGGCACCAUCAUAGCUCACUGCAUCCUUCACUCAGUGAUCCUAAGGCUCAAGUGAUCCUCCCACCCGAGCCUCCUGAGUAACUGAGACUACAGGCAUGUGCCACCACGCCCACCUAAUUUUUAAAUUUUUUGUAGAGACUGCGACUUGUUAUGUUGCCCAGGCUGGUCUCAAACUCCUAGGCUCAAGCAAUCCUCCUACCUCUGUCUCCCAAAGUGUUGGGAUUACAGGCAUGAGCCACUGUAUCCAGCCUAGGUUUUUUUUUUUCAGACGGAGUCUCGUUCUGUCGCCAGGCUGGAGUGCAGUGGCGCAAUCUCAGCUCACUGCAAACUCCGCCUCCCGGGUUCAAGCGAUUCUCCUGCCUCAGCCUCCUGAGUAGCUGGGACUACAGGCAUGCGCCACCACACCCAGCUAAUUUUUGUAUUUUUAGUAGAGAUGGGGUUUCACCAUGUUGGCCGGGAUGGUCUCGAUCUCUUGACCUCCUGAUCCACCCGCCUUGGCCUCCCAAAGUGCUGGAAUUACAGGUGUGAGCCACCGUGCCCAGCCAGCCUAGCUUGCAAAAAUACUUACACCCAAGCCCCACCUGCCCGAGAUUCUGAUUUGCCUAGGCAUCUGUAUUUUAAAAGAUCCACAGGUGAUUCUAAUGUGCAACCAAAGUUGAGGAUCUCUGGUCUAGGCAGAAAUGUUGUUCCCUUUUUCCCUUAUGGGCUGAAUAAAAAUAAGUUUCUCUUUAAUAAAGAAAAUAAGUAGUUGUAAGUAAUAUCAACAAGGAAAUAAAUGAUUUUCCCAAGGGGAAAAUCAAGAAACUAUAUAAUGGAAUUGUGUAUCUGGAAAUCUGAAAGAGCAAAGCAGGCAAAGUAUAAAAUUCUGCUUGCAAAUGAUCUAGCUAAGCGCAAAGGUAAAGGUAAAGGGUAUUUCCCUGGUCUCUGGUUUCCUUUUUUCUUUUUGAGACAGUCUUGCUCUGUCACCCAGGCUGGAGUGCAG
rnacentral:lncRNA from 10 species